rnacentral:rRNA from 1 species
AACGAACGCUGGCGGCAGGCCUAACACAUGCAAGUCGAGCGCGCCCUUCGGGGUGAGCGGCGGACGGGUGAGUAACGCGUGGGAACGUGCCCUUUUCUACGGAAUAGCCUCGGGAAACUGAGAGUAAUACCGUAUACGCCCUUUGGGGGAAAGAUUUAUCGGAAAAGGAUCGGCCCGCGUUGGAUUAGGUAGUUGGUGGGGUAAUGGCCUACCAAGCCGACGAUCCAUAGCUGGUUUGAGAGGAUGAUCAGCCACACUGGGACUGAGACACGGCCCAGACUCCUACGGGAGGCAGCAGUGGGGAAUCUUAGACAAUGGGGGCAACCCUGAUCUAGCCAUGCCGCGUGAGUGAUGAAGGCCUUAGGGUUGUAAAGCUCUUUCAGCUGGGAAGAUAAUGACGGUACCAACAGAAGAAGCCCCGGCUAACUCCGUG